GAAUCUGCCUGGUAGUGGGGGAUAACGUUCGGAAACGGACGCUAAUACCGCAUACGUCCUACGGGAGAAAGCAGGGGACCUUCGGGCCUUGCGCUAUCAGAUGAGCCUAGGUCGGAUUAGCUAGUUGGUGGGGUAAUGGCUCACCAAGGCGACGAUCCGUAACUGGUCUGAGAGGAUGAUCAGUCACACUGGAACUGAGACACGGUCCAGACUCCUACGGGAGGCAGCAGUGGGGAAUAUUGGACAAUGGGCGAAAGCCUGAUCCAGCCAUGCCGCGUGUGUGAAGAAGGUCUUCGGAUUGUAAAGCACUUUAAGUUGGGAGGAAGGGUUGUAGAUUAAUACUCUGCAAUUUUGACGUUACCGACAGAAUAAGCACCGGCUAACUCUGUGCCAGCAGCCGCGGUAAUACAGAGGGUGCAAGCGUUAAUCGGAAUUACUGGGCGUAAAGCGCGCGUAGGUGGUUUGUUAAGUUGGAUGUGAAAUCCCCGGGCUCAACCUGGGAACUGCAUUC
rnacentral:rRNA from 1 species